GGGUUGUGAGGUUAAGCGACUAAGCGUACACGGUGGAUGCCCUGGCAGUCAGAGGCGAUGAAGGACGUGCUAAUCUGCGAAAAGCGUCGGUAAGGUGAUAUGAACCGUUAUAACCGGCGAUGUCCGAAUGGGGAAACCCAGUGCAAUUCGUUGCACUAUCGUUAACUGAAUACAUAGGUUAACGAGGCGAACCGGGGGAACUGAAACAUCUAAGUAC
rnacentral:rRNA from 1 species